AGAGCCGGAAGCCAGCUACCCGUGGUUAUAUGGAGGAGCGUAUGGGGUGGAGAGCGCUAUGUUUCGCUGAGGAGCGCACUAUCUCACCCAUACGCACGCACAGUCCGGUGCGCGUUAUUCCAGCCCCUCGCAGGUGCCGUGCUAGAGCGGGCAUCCAGCCUGGUAGGAGGAUGCCUGCGCAGCGCAUCUGGUCGCCGGUACGCCUCCGAGGACCAGGCUACCCAACUCCCGCUCUACGCACGGCUACCAUCAGGCCCCUGCACAGCCCAGUCUGCCCUGUACGAGCACCCCGCUCGUACAGGGCUACUAGUUCCAUCCAGCCAAGGCGGGUUGUGCAGGAGGUAAGAUCUAGACCGACUGUGCACCUCCAUAGCCCUGGGUUUCCAGCUCCUGUCUCUCGUGCGGACCCGGAAGUGCGUCAACCCAGUCCGACUCGUCCUGUUCCCGCUCCCCGCACUAGCCUGGAGGUGCGUGUUCAUAAUCUGGUAAGCCCAGUACCAGCACCACGCACCAGGCUACAAGUGCGUCAACCCAGCCACGCCAGUCAACAGUCACCAGAGCUGCCCGCCAGUCAACAGUCGUCACCAGAGCUGCCCGCCAGUCAACAGUCGUCACCAGAGCUGCCCGCCAGUCAACAGUCGUCGUCAGAGCUGCCCGCCAGUCAACAGUCGUCGUCAGAGCUGCCCGCCAGUCAACAGUCGUCGUCAGAGCUGCCCGCCAGUCAACAGUCAUCGUCAGAGCUGCCCGCCAGUCAACAGUCAUCGUCAGAGCUGCCCGCCAGUCAACAGUCAUCAUCAGAGCUGCCCGCCAGUCAACAGUCAUCGUCAGAGCUGCCCGCCAGUCAACAGUCAUCGUUAGAGCUGCCCGCCAGUCAACAGUCGUCAGAGCUGCCCGCCAGUCAACAGUCGUCAGAGCUGCCCGCCAGUCAACAGUCGCCAGAGAGGUCAGACUGCGCUGAACUGCCGGAGUGGUCAGACUGCGCUGAACUGCCGGAGUGGCCAGACUGCGCUGAACUGCCGGAGUGGCCAGACUGCGCUGAACUGCCGGAGUGGCCAGACUGCGCUGAACUGCCGGAGUGGCCAGACUGCGCUGAACUGCCGGAGUGGCCGGACUGCGCUGAACUGCCGGAGUGGCCGGACUGCGCUGAACUGCCGGAGUGGCCGGACUGCGCUGAACUGCCGGAGUGGCCGGACUGCGCUGAACUGCCGGAGUGGCCGGACUGCCCUGAACUGCCGGAGUGGCCGGACUGCGCUGAACGUCGCCAGAGAGGUCAGACUGCGCCGAACUGCCGGAGUGGCCAGACUGCGCUGAACUGCCGGACUGGCCCGACUGCCCCUCGGCGAUGCCAGAGUGGCCCGACAGCCUGGAACGGCCGGAACCAGAGCCACCUCCAGAUAUAGGUGGGUUGGGGAGGGGGGGUGUAGCACAGUGCCGUCGUUGACGGCAGCCACCCUCCCUUCCCUCCCUUUAGCAGAGGGGAAUUUUGAUUUUGUUGUUUGGGGUUGUUUUUUUUUGUUUUUUCGUUUUAAGGUGCUUCCGGGGUUAGCACCUUUAAGGGGGGGGGGUGGGGGGCGGGGGGUACUGUCACGUCCUGGCCAGUAUAAAGGUUAAUUAGUAUUGUAGUUUGGUCAGGACGUGGCAGAGGGUAUUUGUUUUAUGUGGUUCAGGGUGGUGUGUUUUGUAAAAAGGGUGUUUGAUUUAGUAAUUCCGGGUUUUGGUUUAUGUUUAGGUAUUUCUAUGUGGAGUCUAGUGAGUGUAUGUCUAUGUUUGAUUAAUUGGGGUUGGGACUCUCAGUUGAAGGCAGGUGUUGUCUAUCUGCCUUUGAUUGAGAGUCCCAUAUAGUAGGGUGUGUUUGUGUUUGCUUUUGUGGGUGAUUAUUCUGAGUUUAGCCUUGUGCCUUACCAGACUGUCUGUAUUUCGUUCGGUCACUUGUUUUGUUAUUUUGUAC
rnacentral:lncRNA from 8 species